rnacentral:rRNA from 1 species
UACAGAGGUCUCAAGCGUUGUUCGGAAUCACUGGGCGUAAAGGGUGCGUAGGUGGCGUGGAAAGUCAGAUGUGAAAUCCGGAGGCUCAACCUCCGAAUUGCAUCCGAUACUCCCAUGCUAGAGAACUGGAGGGGAGUCUGGAAUUCUCGGUGUAGCAGUGAAAUGCGUAGAUAUCGAGAGGAACACUAGUGGCGAAGGCGAGACUCUGGACAGUUUCUGACACUGAUCCACGAAGGUCAGGGGAGCAAACGGG